UUCAGCUCCUCAGCUUCCUCUUCCUCUGGAUCUCUGGUUAAUGAAACAAUUCCUCUUCCCCAUGUCCCUAGGUUCUCCACAUCUCCACAAAAAUAUAGUUUCAUAAAGAAUUGAUUUUCCUCAUUCUCUCCAAAUAUGAUGUAGUUGAUUUAUGUUUUUUACUUUCCUCCAUAAUCAGAUGCUAGGACAGAAACGAUACUCACUCAGUCUCCGGCGAGUGAGUCAGCGACUCCAGGAGACAAAGUCACCAUCUCCUGCAAAGCCAGCCAAGACAUUGAUGAUGAUAUGAACUGGUACCAACAGGAGCCAGAAGAAGCUCCUAAACUCAUUAUUAAAGAUGCUACUACUCGCGUUUCUGGAAUCCCACCUCAAUUCAGUGGCAGUGGUUUCUGCUGCCCCCAUGCUGUGCCUGACACACUUGAUAUGGCAGAGACUAGGACAGCCUUCCUCACAUUGUCCAGCUGUGCCAAUAAUCUCAUUUCCGAGCAGGGCGUAUCAGCUUCCUUGCCGUUGUUUCCCUAUAGUCUCCACCUACAGAACUUUCAUGUGUAUGUGUUCAAAACCUGUGGCUUCUAAUGAGACUUUGAGGUCUACCCAAAACUACACCUGACUCUACAACCUUUAAUGAGUACUAAGUUUAGUAUUUAAUAGCCAUCAAACAAAGAAAGCAGUGGAAGUAAGGGGAGC